UCGAACGCUGAAGCCAGAAGCUUGCUUCUGGUGGAUGAGUGGCGAACGGGUGAGUAACACGUGAGUAACCUGCCCCUGAUUUCGGGAUAAGCCUGGGAAACCGGGUCUAAUACCGGAUACGACCAACCCUCGCAUGAGGGUUGGUGGAAAGUUUUUCGAUCAGGGAUGGGCUCGCGGCCUAUCAGCUUGUUGGUGGGGUAAUGGCCCACCAAGGCGACGACGGGUAGCCGGCCUGAGAGGGCGACCGGCCACACUGGGACUGAGACACGGCCCAGACUCCUACGGGAGGCAGCAGUGGGGAAUAUUGCACAAUGGGGGAAACCCUGAUGCAGCGACGCAGCGUGCGGGAUGACGGCCUUCGGGUUGUAAACCGCUUUCAGCAGGGAAGAAGCGAAAGUGACGGUACCUGCAGAAGAAGUACCGGCUAACUACGUGCCAGCAGCCGCGGUAAUACGUAGGGUACGAGCGUUGUCCGGAAUUAUUGGGCGUAAAGAGCUCGUAGGUGGUUGGUCACGUCUGCUGUGGAAACGCAACGCUUAACGUUGCGCGUGCAGUGGGUACGGGCUGACUAGAGUGCAGUAGGGGAGUCUGGAAUUCCUGGUGUAGCGGUGAAAUGCGCAGAUAUCAGGAGGAACACCGGUGGCGAAGGCGGGACUCUGGGCUGUAACUGACACUGAGGAGCGAAAGCAUGGGGGAGCGAACAGGGA
rnacentral:rRNA from 1 species